rnacentral:rRNA from 1 species
GUCCACGCCGUAAACGAUGAAUACUAGGUGUAGGAGGUAUCGACUCCUUCUGUGCCGCAGUUAACACAAUAAGUAUUCCGCCUGGGGAGUACGGUCGCAAGAUUAAAACUCAAAGGAAUUGACGGGGGCCCCGCACAAGCAGCGGAGCAUGUGGUUUAAUUCGAAGCAACGCGAAGAACCUUACCUAGACUUGACAUCUCCUGAAUUACCUGUAAUGAGGGAAGCCCUUCGGGGCAGGAAGACAGGUGGUGCAUGGUUGUCGU